UUUCCUACGGGAGGCAGCAGUGAGGAAUAUUGGUCAAUGGCCGGAAGGCUGAACCAGCCAAGCCGCGUGAAGGACGAAGGUGCCAAGCAUUGUAAACUUCUUUUGUCAAGGGACAAAAUCAGGCUCGAGAGCCUGACCGAGGGUACUUGAAGAAAAAGCAUCGGCUAACUCCGUGCCAGCAGCCGCGGUAAUACGGAGGAUGCGAGCGUUAUCCGGAUUUAUUGGGUUUAAAGGGUGCGCAGGCGGAGGUGCAAGUCAGCGGUCAAAUUGCGGGGCUCAACCCCGGCCCGCCGUUGAAACUGGCA
rnacentral:rRNA from 1 species